CACAUUUUUUUUCUUUGGUCAAAACGCAUUCGAUUGCAAGUUUAUUCAUUGUAAUAGAUAAAAUAUACUUUUGUGAAUAUGUUGUCUUUACUAAUACAGGAUAUAUGCAAUUAAGGGUUAUGCCUUUUAAUCUAUAUUAAAAGAUAAAAGUACUGUUUUUAGCUAGCAACUUAUGCUUGGAGUUUGGAUGCAGCAUCGCCCUGAGCUGAAUUCAAUCCUUAACCAUCCGUCAGUUAGACACAACAGUGUCAUUUAAUAGAAUUUGUUAACAAACUAUAACACGUUUUUUCUAAAUUCCGCAUGUAGUAUUUGUGCGAAAACUCAAGGUGAACUUAUGUAAGAUCAGACAUGGCCACUGGUCGUCUGGCGCGGUUGCUAGCAGUGUCUCUCAAUGAUGAUAAUUUUCACAGACCUGUACUGAAUGACUGUGAUUGCACUAAAUUAUUCUGAUGCGAGACGCUUUUUAAAUCAGUAUCUAUUCUACCGACUCAUGGCGGCCCGAACACGUUGCACGGAUCGGUCACGUGUUGGCCGACCAGAGGAAACUCACUUGCUAGCCGCAGCCUGCUCAAGCAAUAAUGUCCGCUCACUUUUGCUUUUUAUAGAUGGAGUGCGAUCCAGAAACAAUUUGCUGCAAAGGUAUGAGAAGAGUGGCAACUUCUCUGCAGAAGGCUAUGCUGCGGUAUCCUUUCACUUUACAGCUCAAAGCAGCUGUAAAGCGCACUGAGGCAUUUGAGGAAGGAUGCUCCCUUGAAAUCUCAAGAUGGCCUUUUUGAUUGGAUACUUGAAGAGGAAAGCAUUCAAUGAAGUCUCCUGAUGAUUCAUUGACCACUUCAGCAACAUGACUAAGCUGUUCUAGUUGAAGGUACUUGUUUGGAAGAUCUUUUCUCGAGGGUGUCUGGCCAGGUUGCUAUUAAUGCUGACGGGGGGACAAGGAGGUCAUCAGGAUUGACAGAUCUUGUCCCAGAGUUGAGGUUUUGAAGAUACUCCCUCUUCAGCUGUUGGGAACAUCAUCAGACACCUGGGACUGUGCUACAGGUCGAGCCAUGUGCAGUGCUUACUGUCAGCCAAUACUGGUCAAAUCAGCAUCCAAGUCUCUCUGGAAUUCUGCCCACUGCUUUGGAGUGUGUGAGUUUGGCCAGAACUUCGACGCCAUCACGAAGAUAAUCAGUCACUGUAUUCUUCCAAGAUUACUACAGUUAAGUUUCUGUAGAGCUCAAGGGAUGUGUCCGGAAUACUUUAAUUUACAGAAACAUAAUCCAGCAAUUGACAAUGUAUCCAGCAAACUAUGCUGUGGAUUUGUUUUUGGGACAGCUGUGAAAAUGUAAUAAAGCAUAAAUUUUUCAGUUAAGCUUAUUUUGUUUGGUGUAAAUUUGUAUAGUGUCAUUGAGCUCAUCACAGUUCCUGAUAAAGGCAAAAGCUUUUUGCACUCAGAAUUAAGAAAUGGGAGAAUUAGAAAUUGCCAAAUAGUGAUCUUUGUAAAUGCUAUGACAAGCUAGAGUUUUCAAUAUCAGCCCAUAAUAAUAAUGACUAAUAAUUUCAGCUCUAAUAGUAAAGUGUCCAGUGCAUUUAGUCUACUUCCAAUCCUCCUCGUUCAGUGAAUCAGUGGGAGAUUUGACAUCAGCUGUAGUUCAUCCAAUUUUAAGAGGGUUUUAGUAUUGUCACAGUCGGCAUGAAGUGUUUCAUAUAGAGAAAUGAACAUUGUAUGACUAAGGAGUUAUACAGUCAAGAUGCUUUGAAAUGAUUGGCAUCUGACCUUCGGGUCACAUUUACCUAGAAAGGGGCAUCACCAUAGAACACAACCCUUAGAAAACCUGUGUUUUGGCAUAGUCCCACCCCACUAAAAAUGGAACAGCUAUACUAUGCAGCAUUGUACAUCAGAAUAUAACAUGUUAAAGGAUGUUACCUGUGCAUGCCCUGGGUAACAAUGACAUCUUUACUGAGUAGGCAUUUAAAUUUAUUAAAAAGACAGCGAGGCACCACCAGAGUAUAAGUGUCAUUACAUUGCAUGCAUACAGUUGUUUAUCAACAAAUGUAAGGUUUCAGUAUGUUUGAAACCACCUGUUAGUUUUAAAUUCUCCCAGUUUAUCUCCCCCUCGCCAUAAAUUUGGAUCUAUUGCCUGUGUCAACAUAAAAUGAGAAAAUAUAAAAGCCAUGUUUGAUUUUAGUGGUCAUUGGUCAGUGACAGCACCGUUGUCUGCAGAUCUAGUGACUGCAAACAGCAGGUGAUGGAACAAAAGUACUUAUUGAAUUUUUUCUUUUGAUACUUCUGAGUUUGAUAGUCCAAAAAUGAGCCUGGAGUUAUGUCAGAGCUCGCUAUACA